UCUCCGCAUCAAUGGGGUCUUGGACUCUGACUGUCACAGGAGGCUCUGUCAGGAGAAAGAUGCUAGUUUGAAUAAAAAUAAAAAAAAAAAAAGAAAGAAAGAAAGAAAAGAAAAGAAAAAGAAAAAAAGAAAGAAGGAAAGAAGGAAAGAAAAACAGCAGGUUUCUAUUUCAAACUCCCAGGAUCGGAAUCCAGCGUUCGAAGUAUUCAGACAGGUGAAAAAAAAAAUAAUAAUGUUCAGCGCGAGGCGUCCGGGCUCCGUCAAAAAGAGCACCCCCACCCCUUUCCAAACGCAUCAGCCCCUCCCCAGACCCCAGCCAGGCAAGAAGCGCAGCCCACCGAUGCGGUACCGAGUGUGGCCGCGCAGGGAUGCAGCCGCCGAGAGGAGACGCGCGCCUUACCUGCUGCUUCUCUUCUGCCUCCCUCCCCCCACCGCACCCGGGAGUCCCUCCUCCCUGGCUAGCCUGUCCCUGCCUCCGCUCCGCUAGAUCCCAGCAGCCUCCAUCAGCCUCCAACUAAGAGUCUUGGAGAAACAAGGAAACUAGUUGGUUUCCUUGGAAGCUGCACCGCUUUGCUGCCUUGUUGGGCCUGCGUUUUGAUUUCCUUUAAAGUGGACGGUGCCCGCCACUGCACCCCACGCCCCCACCCCAGGGAAGGUGACAAGAAAGAGCAAAGGCAACUUCUAUCAAAGGCAAGCUCUGAGCCCCGCCAGCAUCCAGGCAAGCUGCAAGCUGGACCAUUAACGCUACUGCCCCGCUGGGGCCCGGAGCGGAAGGGAGAAUUCGGAGGCGGAUUGUUUGCCCGACUGGUCGGCAAAUAAACAUAGGAAAGGGAUUCCCCUUUGUAAGAGUGGAGCGCUCAGAUGGGUCGCCAAGGAGCGGGGUGAGGGCGGUGGGGAGGGGGUCUGCGCACCCCGGGCAGCUGAGGCAGGAGGCCCCGAGCGAGCGCUGGGGCACAGCUUUCCCUCUGGCCUCGCCUUGGCUGGGCAGGCAGCCGAGCCCGGCCACUCAAUGGGAGAAUCCACCCGGGCUGGCUGGAAAUCCAGCCUGUUGGACUCACAUGCCAGCUCCGCGGGUGACUGCGAGGGGGCUUCUCCCAGCCUACAAUUCCCUCUCUUCUCCAAUUAUAAAUGCACAGGGUGGGGAAGCUGUGGUCUGAUAAGACAUUCACUCCGUGGGCUGCAGCAAGCAAAUUACAAUGGUUUAUUUGUUUUACUUUGCUUUUCAAUCCUUGCCUGGCCAGUCCUCCUUGGCCGAAUUAACAUUCUGCUCUUGCAGACGGACUCCCCCUUCCCAUUUAUUUUAUGAAGUACUAAUUAUUCAUUAGUAGGUUUCAUUAGUCUUUACCAAUAAAACAUGAUGUGAUCUACAAAUCAAAAGAAAAUAUUAGGACUCUAACUCAUCCUUGGUCCCUAUAGUGGGGGAAGAGAAGAAAAAAACAGUAAAAUCGUGAUCAGGAAUAGUAGCCAUAUUUUGAAAAUCUAGAUUUGGAAUAUGAUUGCAUUUUCUUUCCUGUUGUUUGGUUUGGUUUUCAAAGCAAGGGGUAAACUGUCUGAACAGUAUCUUUGGAGGUUGUUGAGUUGCAUGAAAGAAAUCUUGCUGAAGAAUUUGUGUUGCCAUGUGGGACAGGGCCACCCAUGAGAGUUAGGGAUGUCUCAGGAUAGAACAUCCAUGACAGGACCCUAGUGCUGGCCACAACAGCCACCCUCACUGAGUCCUCUCUGAGUCCAUCAGACACUCUGGAAGAAUGACUCCUUCAGACCUGAGCUAUUGGCUUGCAAAACACUAUUCACUUUGCAGGCUAAUCAAAAUGCUUCCUGAAGAAAGGGAAAUUAAUUAUUGUAUAGUUUUAUUUUAUGUUACUAUGUUUUGAAAUGCCAUCAAUAAAGUCCUCUUUUGCCAAA